AUUGAACGCUGGCGGCAUGCCUUACGCAUGCAAGUCGAACGGUAACGCGGGGGCAACCCUGGCGACGAGUGGCGAACGGGUGAGUAAUACAUCGGAACGUGUCCUGUUGUGGGGAUAACCCAUCGAAAGGUGAGCUAAUACCGCAUGAUCUGGAGACAGCAAAGCAGGGGACCGGAAACGGCCUUGCGCGAUUGGAGCGGCCGAUGUCCGAUUAGCUAGUUGGUGGGGUAAAGGCCCACCAAGGCAACGAUCGGUAGCUGGUCUGAGAGGAUGAUCAGCCACACUGGGACUGAGACACGGCCCAGACUCCUACGGGAGGCAGCAGUGGGGAAUUUUGGACAAUGGGGGCAACCCUGAUACCAGCCAUGCCGCGUGAGUGAAGGAA
rnacentral:rRNA from 1 species